UACGGGAGGCAGCAGUGGGGAAUUUUGGACAAUGGGCGAAAGCCUGAUCCAGCAAUGCCGCGUGUGUGAAGAAGGCCUUCGGGUUGUAAAGCACUUUUGUCCGGAAAGAAAUCCUUGGCUCUAAUACAGUCGGGGGAUGACGGUACCGGAAGAAUAAGCACCGGCUAACUACGUGCCAGCAGCCGCGGUAAUACGUAGGGUGCGAGCGUUAAUCGGAAUUACUGGGCGUAAAGCGUGCGCAGGCGGUUUGCUAAGACCGAUGUGAAAUCCCCGGGCUCAACCUGGGAACUGCAUUGGUGACUGGCAGGCUAGAGUAUGGCAGAGGGGGGUAGAAUUCCACGUGUAGCAGUGAAAUGCGUAGAGAUGUGGAGGAAUACCGAUGGCGAAGGCAGCCCCCUGGGCCAAUACUGACGCUCAUGCACGAAAGCGUGGGGAGCAAACAGGAUUAGAUACCCUGGUAGUCCACGCCNUAAGCGAUGUCAACUAGUUGUAGGGGAUUC
rnacentral:rRNA from 1 species